CAGGGAGACAACAAAAUGUAAAUAUUAAUUUUGUCACCUUAGGUCGAUCGGUAUCUCAGAUUCUUAUUUUUUAAAAAUUUCAUUUUCUAAUUUUUUUCUAGGUCACACCCUUCAUUUUUUCCUGGGCCUUUACCUCAGGGGGUUAAAGCGCACCCCUGAUAAGGGUGAGGUCCCGGGUUCAAGUCCAGGAGGGCCCAUAUCUCUAUGUUGGGGGUAUACCUCAUUUGGUAGAGCCCCUGCUUUCCAACCAGGAUUUCAGCGGUUGGAUUCCGCUUACUUCCACUGAAUACCACUUUUUACAUAUACUUAAAGAGGGAAAUUGUUUUGAGUCGUGUCUUAUUUUGUUUUGAGGGAAUCUAGCUUCUUAUUUUAUUCAAUAAAUAAGAUGCGGGAUUCAUUGAAUUUUUUUCAUUGUUUUCAGAGAACCUUGACAACUGCAUAGAUUAUUUUUGAAGACAAUAAGCAUCUUUAAUGAUGCAGAUUUAUUAUUUGUGCGAAUGCAUGAAAUAACAAUUCUAUUAAGCUGAUGCUUCAAUUAUUGAAGUUAUU
rnacentral:misc_RNA from 1 species